rnacentral:rRNA from 1 species
GAUGAACGCUAGCGGCAGGCUUAACACAUGCAAGUCGAGGGGUAGAGGAAGCUUGCUUCCUUGAGACCGGCGCACGGGUGCGUAACGCGUAUGCAAUCUACCUUUUGCAGAGGAUAGCCCAGAGAAAUUUGGAUUAAUACCUCAUAGUAUGUGAGGAUGGCAUCAUUUUCACAUUAAAGUCACAACGGCAAAAGAUGAGCAUGCGUCCCAUUAGCUAGUUGGUAAGGUAACGGCUUACCAAGGCUACGAUGGGUAGGGGUCCUGAGAGGGAGAUCCCCCACACUGGUACUGAGACACGGACCAGACUCCUACGGGAGGGCAGCAGUGAGGAAUAUUGGGACAAAUGGGCGCAAGCCCUGAUCCCAGCCCAUGCGCGUGCAGGAUGACGGU